rnacentral:rRNA from 1 species
UGGUGGAGCGAUUUGUCUGGUUAAUUCCGAUAACGAACGAGACCUCACCUGCUAACUAGUUGUAACCUUCCGAGGCUCAUCAACUUCUUAGAGGGACUUUGUGCUAAACACAAGGAAGUUUGAGGCAAUAACA